rnacentral:ncRNA from 1 species
AGGAGCCGGAUGAAGGGAAACUUUCAUGUCCGGUUUUGAAGACGAGUUAGGAUGGUGACAUCUUGGCUUAGUUUAACUAUCUUGC